rnacentral:rRNA from 1 species
AACGAACGCUGGCGGCAGGCUUAACACAUGCAAGUCGAGCGCCCCGCAAGGGGAGCGGCAGACGGGUGAGUAACGCGUGGGAAUCUACCCAUCUCUACGGAAUAACGCAUGGAAACGUGUGCUAAUACCGUAUACGUCCUUCGGGAGAAAGAUUUAUCGGAGAUGGAUGAGCCCGCGUUGGAUUAGCUAGUUGGUGGGGUAAAGGCCUACCAAGGCGACGAUCCAUAGCUGGUCUGAGAGGAUGAUCAGCCACACUGGGACUGAGACACGGCCCAGAGUCCUACGGGAGGCAGCAGUGGGGAAUAUUGGACAAUGGGCGCAAGCCUGAUCCAUCCAUGCCGCGUGAGUGAUGAAGGCCCUAGGGUUGUAAAGAUCUUUCACCGGUGAAGAUAAUGACGGUAACCGGCGAAGAAGCCCCGGCUAACUUCGUGCCAGCCGCCGCAGUAAGAC